GACAGAGGGUGCAAACGUUGUUCGGAAUUACUGGGCGUAAAGCGUGUGUAGGCGGUCUGCUAAGUCGGGUGUGAAAGCCCUGGGCUCAACCCAGGAACUGCAUUUGAAACUCCCUUUCUUGAGUGUCGGAGAGGAAAGUGGAAUUCCUGGUGUAGAGGUGAAAUUCGUAGAUAUCAGGAGGAACACCGGUGGCGAAGGCGGCUUUCUGGACGACAACUGACGCUGAGACGCGAAAGCGUGGGGAGCAAACAGG
rnacentral:rRNA from 1 species